rnacentral:rRNA from 1 species
UACGAGGGGGGCAAGCGUUGUUCGGAAUUAUUGGGCGUAAAGGAUGCGUAGGCGGACAUUUAAGUCAGAUGUGAAAUACCCGAGCUUAACUUGGGUGCUGCAUUUGAAACUGGGUGUCUAGAGUGCAGGAGAGGUAAGUGGAAUUCCUAGUGUAGCGGUGAAAUGCGUAGAGAUUAGGAAGAACACCAGUGGCGAAGGCGACUUACUGGACUGUAACUGACGCUGAGGCAUGAAAGCGUGGAGAGCAAACAGG